rnacentral:lncRNA from 1 species
GGCUGAGACAGGAGGAUCACUUCAAGGCCAGGGCUACAUAGUGAGCUCAAGACCAGGCUGAUGUACACAGGGAGACCCUGUCUCAAAAGAGAAACAACAAAGGAAUAGAAAGAAACUGCUGAGUCUGACUUUGGGUCCCACAGGCUCAUCCAGCUGGCCGGACAAGCAGACUGGCAUGAACCAGGACAGAGGCUUAGUGCAGGCCGCGGUCAGCAACAGGAUCUCCAAGACCCUGAAUCUGCAGUUCUUAGGCCAAGGUGCGCACAGCAUAGGCCAUGGGCAGCACUGCCACGGUGCCACACACGGGAGGACCCGGCAAGGACACCACACCUACCACUCAGCACUCAGAUACAUGGAUGGUUUUGUACACAGAGAAGGAAAUACAAGUAGGAAAUGGCCAAGGAGAAGCACAGGAGAAGGGAGAAGCACAUCAGAAGAAGCAAGAAGCAGGGCAAACAGCCUCUGUAAACAGCUGCAAGUGGGAGGCCGAAGGACAGGAAGGGGCCGCUCCAACUAGGAGGACAUUCAUAUUCCCGUAGUUGAUUGAGUUUGCCACAACGUUUUUUCAGUAGUGAAGACUGAAUUCGGGCCUUGGCAUUGCGGGACCUUUCCACCUGUUAGAUCUCCCUGGCCUUAAAAUGGCUGCUACAUAGCAGCCUCCUUCCCAUAAUGCUCUGCGCCUUAAAAUGGCUUCCAUAGGGAAAAGCAGCCUCCUUCCCAUAAUGCUCUGCGCCUUAAAAUGGCUUCCACAGGGAAAAGCAGCCUCCUUCCCAUAACGCUCUGCGCCUUAAAAUGGCUUCCACAGGGAAUAGUAGCCUCCUUCCCAUAAGGCCAUGUCAUAAGAAUAUGGGUUCUCCUACCAAAGGACAGGCUUCUUCUUCCCAACAUGCCCCUCUUCCCGCCAAGAAAGGUAACCUGAUACUUGCUACGUCCUACCAACUCGUGAUGUCACAAGCUCCUCGUAGUGAUGCCACAGGCCCCUCCAAUCCCUUAAUACGACCUCACUCAACUCCACCCCAGCUCAGGCGAACCCCACCCCACUCCUAUAAAUACAGAAGCUUCCUGUUCUGCCAUGUUGCUUUUGCUGCUAUUCCCAAUAUAUGCUCCCCCUAAUAAAGGCUUAUUAUGGUCCUGGUUUUUAGCGUUUUCUACCUAAUACUACCCUCAUAAGCAACUUUUACAUUUCUCACUGAGUCACUGAGUUGCUCGGGCUGGGCGAUACUCCUCCCUCAGCCGCUGGUGUGCACCAGCUCACCUGGCUUGUUCAUUUUGUUUGCAGUGCUAAGGACCAGACCCAAGGCGUCCUCCAUGUUGGGCAGCUAUUCUAGGGUUGAGCUACACCCCA